ensembl:lncRNA
AAUACCUCCUGAAGAUGACCUUUUCACUGCUGGUAUUGUGACCACAAAAGCUAGUACCCCAAAACCACAUUCAAAUGAUCUUGAUGUUACUCCAGCUGAAGGUGACCAGAAUUGUAAAGAUGAAAGGAAAGAAAGAGGAGAAGUAAGAAGGUCUCCAAUCAAGCUGAAAAUGAAUGCUCAGUGUACACAAUCUGGUACACCAGACCCAAAUGUGAAUGUAUCCUCAGAGACUAGCAGUGUCUCUUCAAAUCCUUCAACCUAUGGAGUUAAUAUGAGUAUCACAGAACCAGACCCUAAUCUAGGUGAUUCAGUACAGAACUCUAACUCACCAUCUGCUAAAUCACCAGAUAAAGAAGCACAUAGACUAGUAGGUUCAGAGAUCGUCAGGGUCACUUUGUCAGUUGAACAAGUUUGUGAGGCAAAUAUUUGGUCAAGAGCAGAGUUAUCCAAGACUCCCGCACAAAACAUUGAACAGAAAAGGCCAGUCAUUCUGUCACAUACCAAAACAUCUAGAGAAAAAAAUUCUCCACCAAGAUAUCCUCCAUGUAAAAGGGUAAAGGUUACCAAUACUGUAUCAAUACAUGCUGAAGAUGACCUUUUCGCCCCUGAUAUUGUGGUCAAAAAGCUAGCUCCCCAAUACAACAUCCAAGUGACCCUACUGUUACUCCUGCUAAAAAUAACCAGUAUUGCAAAUAUGAAAGGAAGGAAAGAGGAGAAGAAAGAAAGUCUCCAAUCAUGUUGAAACUUCAACGUAUGCAACAUUCUGGCCCAACCAAAACAGAUUCACAUGGGAAAUGGUACAAGCCAUCUGUUACGUCCCAAAUGCCAAAUGUUACACCUCAGCCGAAAAGUUCAGAUCCAAACAAAGAGGAAGAACUUGGUAAGACAAAACAAACUGGACAGAACAAAGAAAAGCUGAGAUUUUCGCUGUAUGGAUUCAGUAAUGGCAACAGGAACAGAAUCGUCCAUCAAUGCUCCAGGACAAAGUCGUCCACAGCUCCUGCUUACGUCACAAUCUCAAACAGCCUUGAAACUGCACAGAGCUACACGGAUGCACCUUCGGCUAAGCAAAAGGUCUAUAGCCAGUGGAGUAGCACAUUUGUGGAAACAAAAAAGGAUACCUCUUCACAUAAGAAGCAUCAAAAACCUGUGAAAGCAGAUCUGAAAUCCAGGACACCAGCACUCAAAAGACUUGUUCAAGACAGAUUCGCUAUGAAAGAGAAGCAAUCCACAAAGGAUCUGAGGCAUAAACAAAGUGCUGAAGAUUUUAUUGUUGAACAAGAAGCCAAAAGGUCGAAGUGUAACACUGCUGAUGAAAACUUGGACACACAAACUACAAUGGUUCUUAUGUAGUAUGUUCGAAAAUACACUUGUACUAUAUAAUAAAUAACUAUAUAAAUAAUCAUUGCUUAUAAACUCUUUUUAUGGUAAAUCUGUGUCAAAGUGUCAAAUCUGGAUUAUUUCAGUGCUGAAUCCAUACUCUGCUCGUUUCUUUUCUUUCACUAGUAAUUGCUAGUGAAAGAGAAGGCUCUCUCUUUCUAUGUCUUUUUUUUUUAUUUUUAUCUCUUUCCAAUUCCAGUGAUAUAACCUACUUUAACGGUUGUUUUGUUUAGCUGAUAAUAUAUUGUGUUGUCAAUUUAAUUCACCACUUUUUUUUAGUGGUUUUAUGAAUGCUAAAAUAUUGUUUUGCUCUAUGAGCUGGGAGCUUGAUAACUGUGGAACUUUUUUUUUUACCUUUUUAUAUUGUUGAGGUUUUACAAUUUAUUAUUUGUAUUUUUUAUAAUAAAGUUUUGUAUGAAAAUGUUGCCAUGUUACUGGACGAAUUAGUUAUGACAAGCAAUACUCUACAAUUGUUUGAACAAAUUAUGAACACAGAGGUGUUCAAAGUUGUUUGUACAGCGGGGAGAAAUAAGUAUUGAAUGUGUCAACAUUUUUUUUUCAGUAAAUAUAUUUCCAAUGAGGCUAUUCACAUGAAAUUUUCACCAGACAUCAGUAUUAACUCAAGAAAUCCAGAAAUUUAAAGAAUUCACAACAUUAAACUCCAUAAAUAAAGUUAUGUGUAAUAAAGUGGUAUUACAUGGGAAAAAAAGUAUUGAAUACUCUAAGAAAAAGCAGUUCUCCAAUGCAAGGAACCAUCUGUAAGUAAUUAUACCCCCAUCUGUGAAAAUUAAUAUCAGCUGGGUUAGUAAAUUGAUGGUCUAUAAAAAGGCUUUUUGUUACCAAGGUGUCAUAGAAAAAACAUCUCAUGAUGGGUAAAAGCAAAGAGCUCUCCCAAGACCUUCGCAACCUUAUUGUUGCAAAACAUAUUAAUACAGAUACAGACGUAUUUCUAA